GAUGAACGCUGGCGGCGUGCCUAAUACAUGCAAGUCGAGCGAACAGACGAGGAGCUUGCUCCUCUGACGUUAGCGGCGGACGGGUGAGUAACACGUGGAUAACCUACCUAUAAGACUGGGAUAACUUCGGGAAACCGGAGCUAGUACCGGAUAAUAUAUUGAACCGCAUGGUUCAAUAGUGAAAGACGGUUUUGCUGUCACUUAUAGAUGGAUCCGCGCCGCAUUAGCUAGUUGGUAAGGUAACGGCUUACCAAGGCAACGAUGCGUAGCCGACCUGAGAGGGUGAUCAGCCACACUGGAACUGAGACACGGUCCAGACUCCUACGGGAGGCAGCAGUAGGGAAUCUUCCGCAAUGGGCGAAAGCCUGACGGAGCAACGCCGCGUGAGUGAUGAAGGUCUUCGGAUCGUAAAACUCUGUUAUUAGGGAAGAACAAAUGUGUAAGUAACUAUGCACGUCUUGACGGUACCUAAUCAGAAAGCCACGGCUAACUACGUG
rnacentral:rRNA from 1 species